AGUCUGGCCUGCCCAAUGAUGAUUUGAAUGGCUGCAGUAUCCUGACUGUACAAAGGUAGCGUAAUAAUUUGUCUUAUAAUUGAAGAAUGGAAUGAAUGGUUUGAUAAAGGUGUGGCUGUCUCUUAAUAUAUUUGUUUGAAGUUAAUUUUCAGGUUAAAAAGCUUGGAUGAAAUUAAAGGACGAGAAGACCCUAUUGAGCUUAAAUUGGCAGUGAUGUUAAUAGAAUAUAGGUUUAAGAUUUGUUAAGAAAUUGUAUGGUUUUAGUUGGGGCGACUAAGGAGUAGAUGAAGCUUCCUUUAAGUGGUUAAAAAAGUUGUUUAUUGAUCCAAUUGUUUUGAAUUAAGAUCAAGUUACCAUAGGGAUAACAGCGUUAUCUUUUUUGAGAGUUCUUAUCGAUAGAAGGGAUUGCGACCUCGAUGUUGGAUUAAGGUUUAAUAAAGGUUGUAGAAGCUUUUAUGAUUAGUCUGUUCGA
rnacentral:rRNA from 1 species